rnacentral:lncRNA from 1 species
CAUGAUAUUCUUCAUGGUGGCGUCGUGGAUUCGGCGUAUUUGACGGCGGUUCGUGGAUUCGGAUCGUGGGCUCGUGGAUUCGAGUGGCGUCGUGGAUUCGGCGUGAUUGAAGCUUCGUGGAUUCGAAGUGGAGGCGUUCGUGGAUUCGGACGUGAGGGCGUGGACAAUCCGGAGGGUGGCGCGAAGAUUCAUAGGAGGUUAAGAGAGGUAGAGUCCGUGGAGUCGGUAAUCACCUUGUAAUCUUUUCUCUUAGUGAAUUAUUUUUUCGCAUGUUGGUCCCGUGGGUUUUUCUCC